GUCACACAAUUGGCAACAAAAAUGAUGAGUAUCAAACAAGUGAUAAGGAGACCAGAAAAUCUUGGAGUGAUAAGCUUGUGAAAUUCAAAUUAAAUGAUAAAUGCAAGUUGUUAAUUAGUUAUUUGAUGUUUGGAUAGACAUUAGUCACAAAAUAGUGAAGAGUUGUUAUCCUUAUUUUAUUAUAAAUAGGAAUAAAUGUGUGUUGGGUACUCAUGGCGUAUGGUCAUCAUUUAAUAAUGUUAUAAUCAAUCUUUUAUUUAUUUUUCGCUUCCUUUGUGUAUUUCUUCUUGGUAUCAGAGCCAUUGUAAGUACAUGGCACACUACAAGUCAUUUCCUCCACUAUCACUUUACGAUCCGUAAAUGUUGACAACUUCUUUACACGCAUCUCUCAUUAAUUCUCAUCCAUCAAAUACAUCCCACCAAAUCCAGACAAAACAAAAGAAGCUCAUUCCAAAAUUAACAAAUGAAUUCAAGAAUAGGUUGAUCAUUUCACCAAUGAAAAACCUCGUUCCCACCAAAUACAACACAUCAUAUCCAAACAAUUAAAAAAAAAAAAGAAAGAAAUUCACACGAAAGUUAAUAAAUCCUUGCUUUGUGAAAGUACGAUCCCCUCAUUCAUGGUUGGAUCAUCUCAACAAUUUGAAGAAACCCUCAAACUUAUUAAAGGCUUCAACACAACCCAUACAGUAUGGGAAGCAUCUGAAAUGCUUAUAUACACAUGACAUAUCUUUACAAGAAUGAAGAUAAAAAUCAUUCUUGGCUUCUUCACCAAAUCAAUGUCCAUGGCAGCUCUCAAUUUUUGAAAACAAAUUGUGCCUUCAGCCCCAGCACAGUUUGCGGGAGGAUGUUAGAAAGGUCAAACAAUUGGCAACAGAAAUGAUGAGCAUCAAACAAGUGCUAAGGAGACCAGAAAAUUUUGGAGUGAUAAGCUUGUUAAAUUCAAAUUAAAGGAUAAAUGCAAGUUGUUAAUUAGUUAUUUGAUGUUUUGAUAGACAUUAGUCACAAA
rnacentral:lncRNA from 1 species